GAAGCUCUGAACAGAGUUGCACUCUGGAGGU
rnacentral:piRNA from 1 species